UACAGAGGGGGCAAGCGUUGUUCGGAAUUACUGGGCGUAAAGGGCGCGUAGGCGGCCUGCUAAGUCGAACGUGAAAUCCCCGGGCUCAACCCGGGAACUGCGUCCGAUACUGGCUGGCUUGAAUUCGGGAGAGGGAUGCGGAAUUCCAGGUGUAGCGGUGAAAUGCGUAGAUAUCGGGAGGAACACCGGUGGCGAAGGCGGUUCUCUGGGCCUUACCUGACGCUGAGGAGCGAAAGCGUGGGGAGCGAACAGG
rnacentral:rRNA from 1 species